UAAAAGUAUUGGGCGAUUAAUGGGAAUAAAUAACAAAGGUAAGGAUGGGGCUUUUAAUUGUAGGUGUUGUUGGGCCUCGGAAAGCAUAAAUGGGCUUUAAAGCUUCACAAAUCUGAGACGGGAACUCAAGGAAGCGUCGGAGAGUAAAGCGGAGGAGGACUCCGGAUCUAUCUCUCUCUCUCAUCAGCCAUUUACUUGCGACUCAUUUGAGCUCUGUAGGCCAAUCGCGUGCAGGUUGAUGGUAUGGUGGCGCCAUCAUGGCAGUGGGAAAAUGCCACAGCGGGGGCAGUCGCAGGAUUCGCAACAGUAGCUGCUAUGCACCCUCUUGAUGUUGUCCGUACUAGAUUCCAAGGUCUGAUUUCUUUUUCCACUCCCACAGUAAAAAAAAAAGAAACUAGAUUUUUGUCUGAAACAGUGAACGACGGUAGAGGGUUCCCGACGUACAAGAACACAGCUCACGCUCUCUUCACCAUUGGCCGUCUCGAGGGUCUGAGAGGCCUUUAUGCAGGUUUCUUCCCUGCUGUAAUCGGUUCCACUCUCUCAUGGAGCUUAUACUUCUUCUUUUAUGGAAGAGCGAAAGAGAGAUACGCUAGAGGCAGGGACGAUGAGAAACUCACCCCUCCCCUUCACCUUGCUUCUGCCGCUGAAUCUGGAGCCUUGGUCUGUUUAUGCACGAAUCCUAUUUGGCUUGUCAAGACAAGGUUACAGCUUCAGACACCUCUUCAUCAAACCCCACCCUACUCCGGCCUAUUAGAUGCCUUUAGAACCAUAAUGAAAGAGGAAGGACCCAGGGCGCUCUACAAGGGUAUUGUCCCUGGCCUUGUACUGCAGGUUUCUCAUGGUGCUAUUCAGUUCACAGCGUAUGAGGAACUCCGUAAAGUCAUUGUCGAUAUGAAAGAGAAGAGAAGAAAAUCCGAAUCCACACCUGAUAAUUUAUUGAACUCGGCGGAUUAUGCUGCACUGGGAGGCUCCUCCAAAGUCGCAGCAGUUCUUCUUACAUAUCCUUUUCAAGUUAUUAGAGCACGAUUACAGACAUUCCUCUAUUGUUCAGCAAAGACCUAGUACUAACGGAAUCCCAAGAUAUAUAGACAGCUUACAUGUCAUCAGAGAAACCGCGAGAUUCGAGGGUCUCAGAGGUUUCUACAGGGGACUAACAGCUAAUCUAUUAAAAAAUGUGCCUGCUUCUUCCAGCACGUUCAUCGUCUACGAAAACGUUCUGAAAUUGCUUAAACAACCUCCUCCAACGAGAUAGGACCCAUCAUCUUCUUCUUUUAUCUUUUUUCCCUUGGGAUUGGGGGGAAUACAUGUUUGCUUUUUGUAUUCCUAUGAAACAGCUUUGUCUCGUCUUUGCUCAACAAAAAGCUUUUGUUUUCCUUAUUCAUCA